CAUCAUUGUUCCAUUUGAACUGCAGUGGAUUAUUUACAACAAACUUCAUGAGGGGAUAAAUAUGCUGUGAAGUAGUAUCAAAAAUGCCUAACUCCUUACACAGAUGUCAACAUGUGAUAGAGGACGGAAGAUAUUUCACAUAUAAGAUGAACAAUGGCGAACCUAAGAUUUAGCCUUGUGGAACUCCUUAUAUGAUUUCUGCCCAAUCAGAGUAAUGUCCCAGGUCAACAUCAGAUGUAUUACUUCAAAUUUUUGGUAUCCCAAAAGGUCUUCAUGAUGAGAUUUACAGAGCACAAUGAAUUAAUCAAGGGAGUGAGAGAUUUUAUCACAUUAAAUCCUUGUGUUCCGUUCAUAGACUGGGGUGCAAUCUCCUGCAGUCUUUCCGCAAAGUAAAUUCUUUCUGUGUGACUAUGUGGUAGUUAGUACAUAUAAGGUAAAUACCUUAUGAGGAAGAAAUAUGGGUGGACUUCUCACAGAAUCACGUUGCAGACUGUUUGUUGUGUCAGAGUUUGCAACUAUUUCAAUCAAAUGUAAUACAGAUGAUAGAGACAAAGACAGACUGACUAUUACCGAGUGAGGUGACAUAGUAGUUAGCACUCUGGA